UAAGGGNAGUCAAGAGUACGUGAAACUGCUUAGAGGUUAAGCCCGAUGAACCUGAAUAUCCAUUAUGGAAAAUUCAACAUUAAUAUUAUAAUAUUUAUUUAUAAAUAUUAUAAAAAUAGUGUGCAAUUUUUCCAUAUAAGGACAUUGUAAUCUGUUAAUGUUAUAAAUAUUUAUCAUAAGAUUCAAUAAAUAAAAGUUUAUUCAAAUUAGUUAUUUUCCGAUUUCUAACAUAGAAUAAAUUUAAUUGAAUUUGAUAAAUCAUUGACAGAUUUAUUUAUAUAUAGUGCUUAAAUUCUUAUUUGAAUUUUACAAUAAUUUAUAAAUGUAUUUUCAUUUAUUUAUUUAUUGUAUGCACUUAUAUGAUUAACAAUGCUAUAGAUUCAGGAUACCUUCGGGACCCGUCUUGAAACACGGACCAAGGAGUCUAACAUAUGUGCAAGUCAUUGGGUAUUUUUAAUAAAACCCAAAGGCAUAAUUAACUUAACUGUUUUUUUAAAUGGGAUUAGUUUAUAUUUUAUUAUGAAAUAUUAAUUCAAUCCCGGGGCGUUCUAUAUAGUUAUGUAUAAUAAUAUUUAUAUUAUUUAUGCCUCUAACUAGAGCGUACCUUGAGCAUAUAUGCUGUGACCCGAAAGAUG
rnacentral:rRNA from 2 species